UCCACAUAGAGCAGCGGUUCUCUAGCCUUGCAGCAAUCCGGAAUCACCGUGGAGGACGACAAGAAGGAAGAUGCCCAUCGCAGACCAACUGAAUCAGAGUCUGCAGGGGUGAUUCUGAUGCACACCACAGAGGGUUCAUGAAGGCCAAGGAGACAGUGGGAUCUCCCAGGAAAGAGAGAAAGAGUGAGUGCAAAACACAGUCCCGAACCCCAAAGCAUCUUACUAUUGAGCACCAAAAGUCUGUACUUCCUGUCAGUAAAGAAUGCGCUUAAUUGAACUCUAACGAGCUUUCCACUACUGGCCGCACUCUGGCCCACAGAAUACAUGAAUCACUUGUCCUUAUGCAGUGCAAGAGUCCUCCGCUAAUGUUUGGAGCCUUAAACGUAGCCACUUGAGCUUCCCAUCUAUCAGGCAUGGUUAGGGAUCCCAGAAGCCUCACAUAGCCUGGCGAUAAAACAGAGAAAGAGCUGGAAGGCAAUAAGUGACAAACCCCAGCCCUUCCUAGAUGUCGCUGUGGACAAUGGAUGCUGUCUCCUAGAAACAAUCCCUUUGCCUUGCACCCCAAGACCGGAUGAAGUGAACAUUUCUGAAACACGUCCAGGAGACAGACUGUUCUCUGGGAGGCUACGAGCUGUCUCUCCUAGCAAAGAAGGGAAAAACGAUGAGUGCCCGGAAGUCCGAUCACUGGAUUAAAAGAGAAAUGACAUGAAGAGGCCACGUGCAGGUGCUCUAGCCACAGCCCAGCUAAAGACCCCUCCGUCAGCCAGCAUGAAUCACCAGCCACGGCCAGCCUGAAGGGAGGGUACCGAGAAGCAAAACAGCAUCCCUGGCUGCCUAAGUCUUUUUGUGGCAUCGGAUGGACAGACACGCUGAUGAGGAGCAGACUUGUUGCAUGAAAAACAAAUUCUCCUGAAAUACAAGACUCACGCACAGGAGUCAACCCUGAUAAACUGAGAAUAACAGCUCACUCUGUGUGCUCUUCAGUUAGAAGCUUUAACUGGGACCCAGCAACAGUUUCCCCAAGUCACGGCAAGGAUGGAUAGAAGCAGCCCGUGUCUCCUAUUUGUACACUUGAUUUCUAAACAUCAUUUAAAUGCAACAGCGAGAAAAUAGAGUAAUUCAGGAGCAGCAGAUAGGAACCUGAUUCCAGUCACUCUCUGGACAAGACAUUUUCUCUCAACAAUUCAGAGGCCCUUGAAAUGUGCACUUAACCAUACAACGUGUUUUAUGUGUCAGUGGCACAGUCUCUUUGUUGAGAAUUAAUUGUAUGUGCCUUCACUCCUGUUGAAACUACCCUCUAAGAAGCCUGGCAGACUUCCAGGGACCCCAGCCCCUGGGACUGACACCCAAGUUCGGGACUUCUUAGUGACUCGGAAUCUGAGAGCCGGACAUUCACACAGUGUUCUUGCUUAAAGGUUCUCUUUGCUGUAAGCUACCCGAGAAGUCAUCACAACGUACAGAGGACAAUGAGCUCUUCACUUCCCGUGAAGUCACCCCACUGUCACUCCAAGGGCACCUUCUUUGCGUUUGUGCACAUCAAAGAAGCUUGAGGGCAAGAUCAUAGCCCCCUGGCCCAGCCCUAGAUUGCGAGCAC